AUUGAACGCUGGCGGCAUGCCUUACACAUGCAAGUCGAACGGUAACAGGUCUUCGGAUGCUGACGAGUGGCGAACGGGUGAGUAAUACAUCGGAACGGGCCUAGUAGUGGGGGAUAACUACUCGAAAGAGUGACUAAUACCGCAUGAGAUCUACGGAUGAAAGCAGGGGAUCGCAAGACCUUGUGCUACUAGAGCGGCCGAUGGCAGAUUAGGUAGUUGGUGGGAUAAAAGCUUACCAAGCCGACGAUCUGUAGCUGGUCUGAGAGGACGAUCAGCCACACUGGGACUGAGACACGGCCCAGACUCCUACGGGAGGCAGCAGUGGGGAAUUUUGGACAAUGGGCGCAAGCCUGAUCCAGCAAUGCCGCGUGCAGGAUGAAGGCCUUCGGGUUGUAAACUGCUUUUGUACGGAACGAAAAGCACUGGGUUAAUACCCUGGGGUCAUGACGGUACCGUAAGAAUAAGCACCGGCUAACUACGUGCCAGCCGCCGCAGUAAAAC
rnacentral:rRNA from 1 species